rnacentral:rRNA from 1 species
UAGGAAUCUGCCUAUUAGUGGGGGACAACAUUCCGAAAGGAAUGCUAAUACCGCAUACGUCCUACGGGAGAAAGCAGGGGAUCUUCGGACCUUGCGCUAAUAGAUGAGCCUAAGUCGGAUUAGCUAGUUGGUGGGGUAAAGGCCUACCAAGGCGACGAUCUGUAGCGGGUCUGAGAGGAUGAUCCGCCACACUGGGACUGAGACACGGCCCAGACUCCUACGGGAGGCAGCAGUGGGGAAUAUUGGACAAUGGGGGGAACCCUGAUCCAGCCAUGCCGCGUGUGUGAAGAAGGCCUUAUGGUUGUAAGGCACUUUAAGCGAGGAGGAGGCUACUGAGACUAAUACUCUUGGAUAGUGGACGUUACUCGCAGAAUAAGCACCGGCUAACUCUGUGCCAGCAGCCGCGGUAAUACAGAGGGUGCGAGCGUUAAUCGGAUUUACUGGGCGUAAAGCGUGCGUAGGCGGCUUUUUAAGUCGGAUGUGAAAUCCCCGAGCUUAACUUGGGAAUUGCAUUCGAUACUGGGAGGCUAGAGUAUGGGAGAGGAUAGUAGAAUUCCAGGUGUAGCGGUGAAAUGCGUAGAGAUCUGGAGGAAUACCGAUGGCGAAGGCAGCCAUCUGGCCUAAUACUGACGCUGAGGUACGAAAGCAUGGGGAGCAAACAGGAUUAGAUACCCUGGUAGUCCAUGCCGUAAACGAUGUCUACUAGCCGUUGGGGCCUUUGAGGCUUUAGUGGCGCAGCUAACGCGAUAAGUAGACCGCCUGGGGAGUACGGUCGCAAGACUAAAACUCAAAUGA